rnacentral:lncRNA from 1 species
UGAGGAAGCCAUAACAGGUGAAUCCAGCCCCACAAGAGGUUAGGAAAUGUUUAAUUUGGGAAGUACUAUUUUAUAUAAAUUAAGAAUGAGUAUAACAUAGCUCAAAGAAAUGGCACUUACAAUGCCCAAAGUGGUUGAGACUUAAGCCUGUGUGAAUAAGAAAGAAGGUGCAGUGGAUUUUAGAUUUGAAAUGUGGUGAUCUACAAGAAGAGAUUAGUGUUAUGAAAAGAGGCUGUGGAAGGAGGCUAGACAAUGGCUUCAUAAGACAUCUUAUGUAACAUCAGUUCUGUCAAGGGUACACUGGUGAUUGAGGGCUAACCACCUAAGGGCCUCUAAGGGAGACAGUGAAUAUUAAUCUGAGAAAUGAUUCAUUAUGGCAGCAAAGCUUUUAUAACUCUCUCUGUCAGUCAUGGAAGCAUAAUUAGGAGAGACUGUUGAAUGGAGAAUGAGAGAGCUUGUGUUCCUAGAGAUUUGAUAUUAUUUGAACCCAAGAAAGCAAAAGUCAAAAAGCUGAUUGAAAACAAUAAUAAUAAUGUGCAUUUAAAAAUAAAGGGAUAAACUACAUGAGCAGCUGGAGGGAAAGUUUAAGUUUCUAUGGAAACCUCUCCUAAAAUGUCUCCCUCAGGCAGUGGAGCCAAAUUCUCAAAUGCCAGAGAGAAGUAGAAUACGGGCUGAAGAAAUCCUCAUUGAUCUGUUACACUGAGUGUACCACUUAUAGCUGAAAGGGGAGAACUUUGAAUUAAAACUUAAGGAGAAAAAUCAUGAUUCUUUUCUGUGAAACAGAUGCAGAUGUCACCAUUGAUUCUUCAAAGCAUCCAGAAUAUGUUUCUAGCACUGAAGCAAGAAAAUGUGAGUGCCUGUUUUCUUUGCUUCCUGCAUUCCCUGGAGGUAGAAUGGUACAGUUCUGCAGCCAGGCCACAAGCAACCCUGAUGGUGGGGCGGAGGCUGGCACAGCUUGUCAGAGGCUGGCAGCUGGUGUGCAGACCAAAGCCCAGUGAACCUGGGGCCUAAAUGUCAACGUGUGACUAUCAGGACAGGAAUAAAGGCAUUGAUGUAACACUGGUUUUUGUUUUGUGUGUGUGUUUUUCUGAAGGGCAAGACGGAUAUACUAAAAACUGAAUUUUAAAAACAUUAAGCCCUAAUUCCACCUUCAGAACAACUGGCUUUUCAAAAUAACUAAAAGGGUAGAAUUGGAAUGUUUCUAACACAAAUGAUAAAUGCUUGAGGUGAUAGACUUUCCAAAUACCCUGAUUUGAUCAUGACGAUAUUGUAUAUUUGUAUCAAUAUUUCACAUGUACCCUAUAAAUAUAUGCAACUAUUACGUAUCCAUAAUAAUUAAAGAUAAAUCAAUAUUUUAAAGUUCUUCAUUUGUUUUAGAUCCUUCGUUAAAAAAAAUGAGAAAAAAUGAGUUGAUUUUUUUUUUCCUCCUGGCUAAUGUAAAAACUAACACAAAUUUACCUUUCAAUUAAAAUCUCAAGACACUUUGCAUGUGGUACACGCACCAAAUGCAUACAUUAGAACUGAAUUAUGGAAAAACACAAGAGAAUGACAUUGAUUUAUGCACUUCCAUUAGAUAGAGUGUUACUUAACAAUUCAAAACAAACAGAUACCUUAAGUCUGUCAAGAAAAGAGCAUUUUAGUUGAAGAGCAAAGACAAGUAAUUCUGCAUUUUUAAAGCAUAACUGCAUUACGUUGACUUGGAGUAUGGGUGUUGACUAAGAGUACAAGCCAAAACAGUGGUCACAUUAGUCUGGUGCUGUCCAUAGCACUCCAGCCCUUCUGCUUUCUGUAGCUGUGACAAGGCCAAAUUCUUUCAAAGACUUCAUGUGUGAUUCCUACCCUUCUUCCUUCUCUCCAUUCUCUACUUUUGUCUUUCUUUUCCCUUCUACCCUUACCUUCUAUAAAAGUGACCUUUUAAAAAAUAUUGAGUUACUUUGACAAGUCAGAAAACCUGAAUAAAAGACAAAUAUUACUUUGGGGGAACGGGGGAGGGAAGAUGAAUUUGCAAGUUUGAAUUAAUUUUGGGGUUUGUCUGUCUUUCAUGUUUUCUGUUUUAAAGCAGCAUUGUUUCUUUUAAGUGCUGUACUAUCUUGAACUAACUGCUUAUCAAGCGCUUCUUAGCAGAACUCGGUGUGGCUUUGAUUUAAUGAAGACAUUAAGUCCUUUUUAAUAACAACUUCUUUUCA